GUGGGGAAUUUUGGACAAUGGGCGCAAGCCUGAUCCAGCGACGCCGCGUGAGUGAUGAAGGCCUUCGGGUCGUAAAGCUCUGUUGCAGGGGAAGAACACAAUGACGGUACCCUGCUAGAAAGGAUCGGCUAACUUCGUGCCAGCAGCCGCGGUAAGACGAGGGAUCCUAGCGUUGUUCGGAAUUAUUGGGCGUAAAGCGGGUGCAGGUGGCUUGGUAAGUCAGAUGUGAAAGCCUGGGGCUUAACCCCAGAAGUGCAUUUGAUACUGCUGAGCUUGAGUGCUGGAGAGGCUAUUAGAAUUCCUGGUGUAGUGGUGAAAUACGUAGAUAUCAGGAGGAAUACCGGAGGCGAAGGCGGAUAGCUGGCCAGACACUGACACUCAGACCCGAAAGCGUGGGGAUCAAACAGGAUUAGCUACCCCAGUAGUCC
rnacentral:rRNA from 1 species